CCUACGGGCGGCAGCAGUCGAGAAUCAUUCACAAUGGGGGAAACCCUGAUGGUGCGACGCCGCGUGGGGGAAUGAAGGUCUUCGGAUUGUAAACCCCUGUCAUGUGGGAGCAAAUUAAAAAGAUAGUUCCACAAGAGGAAGAGACGGCUAACUCUGUGCCAGCAGCCGCGGUAAUACAGAGGUCUCAAGCGUUGUUCGGAAUCACUGGGCGUAAAGCGUGCGUAGGCUGUUUCGUAAGUCGUGUGUGAAAGGCCCGGGCUCAACCCGCGGACGGCACAUGUUACUGCGAGACUAGAGUAAGGGGAGGGGAACCGGAAGUCUCGGUGGAGCAGUGAAAUGCGUAGAUAUCGAGAGGAACACUCGGGGCGAAGGCGGGUUCCUGGACAUUAACUGACGCUGAGGCACGAAGGCCAGGGGAGCGAAAGGGAUUAGAUACCCCAGUAGUC
rnacentral:rRNA from 1 species